rnacentral:rRNA from 1 species
AACGUAGGGAACCUGCCCAUGCGGCCGGGACAACUUCCGGAAACGGAUGCUGAUACCGGAUAAGGAAAGCGGAGGCAUCUUUGCUUUGUUAAAGGAGCUGCAAGGCUCCGCGCAUGGAUGGACCUGCGGUGCAUUAGCUGGUUGGUGAGGUAAAGGCUCACCAAGGCGACGAUGCAUAGCCGGCCUGAGAGGGCGAACGGCCACACUGGGACUGAGACACGGCCCAGACUCCUACGGGAGGCAGCAG